UGGGGAAUAUUGGACAAUGGGCGCAAGCCUGAUCCAGCAAUGCCGCGUGAGUGAUGAAGGCCUUAGGGUUGUAAAGCUCUUUCGCACGCGACGAUGAUGACGGUAGCGUGAGAAGAAGCCCCGGCUAACUUCGUGCCAGCAGCCGCGGUAAUACGAAGGGGGCUAGCGUUGUUCGGAAUUACUGGGCGUAAAGGGCGCGUAGGCGGCCUGUUUAGUCAGAAGUGAAAGCCCCGGGCUCAACCUGGGAAUAGCUUUUGAUACUGGCAGGCUUGAGUUCCGGAGAGGAUGGUGGAAUUCCCAGUGUAGAGGUGAAAUUCGUAGAUAUUGGAAGAACACCGGUGGCGAAGGCGGCCAUCUGGACGGACACUGACGCUGAGGCGCGAAAGCGU
rnacentral:rRNA from 1 species